UUGUAGUAUAGUGUAAAAUGCACACGAAUUUUUGGUGUUCGUAGAUUGAGUUUGAUUCUUGAUAGUACAAU
rnacentral:tRNA from 1 species